UUCAUUUUUGUAUUUAGAUAGAUAGAUAUAUAGAGAGAGAAAGAGAGAGAGGUUCAACUUACUUAAGAGUAAGUUUUUUUAAGUUAUUCCACAUCAUAAUCAUUAAAUUAAAUUUAAUCUAAUGAUAAAAUUAACAUUUUUAUUUAUUUAACCAUUCGAUUAAAUCUAAUUUAAAGAUUAUAAUUUGGAGUAAGUAAAAAAAACUUACUCUUGAAAUAGUUAUCUAUCUAUCUAUCUAUCUAUCUAUCUAUCUAUCUAUCUAUCUAUCUACAUAUGCUUUAUGGCAUAUGUUGCCAGGAUUCAUUUACAGGUAUGCAUCAUAUUGGUCAUGUAGGCAUGGAUUCAAGUGGUCUUUGUUUGGCACUGAUGCAGGUUUUAUAUUGCAAGGUUGUGCCUUUGGUUUUAUCUCUGUUGGUCAAUUAUUAUGCUAUAUUGGUCUGCUCAUGGUCCUGCUGUAGGCUUGGUUUGCUGGUAUGCCUUGCAUUUAUCAUGGUCAGGUUGCAUUAUUGAUGGUUUUGCUAGGCGGGUUCUGGCUUCAUGUUCCAGUGGUAUUCUUGUGUUCUUCCAUGGCCUUUGAUGUAGCAGUCUGGAUUGGUUUUACAGGAAGCUUGGUUUACCUGCUGCAAUGUUGUAGGAUGACCUUAGAUUUGUGCUUACAGCAUGAUUGGACUGAAUGUUGUGAUUAUAAUGGCUUGUUGUAGGCCUAUGUAUUCUGCAAUAUGGAAAUUGAACUGGUGAAUUAUGAAUGUUGCAGGAUGAACAAUUUGCUAAGGAUGACUACUGCAGCAUAUUGCAUAAUGUCAUAACCAGGUUCUGCGGGUCAUAUGCACAUGGAAGUUGAUUGAACAAGACAACAUGACAUCAAGUUGAAGUUUUGAAGCAACAUGUCUAAAUGGCAAACUAAAGGAUCAAGAUUGAGAAAUAGGAUUAGGAUUUUAGGAUUUUAGGGUUUUAGGAUGGAAAAGAGUUAAGUUGACUUUGGUCAGAGUUAACCAAAAAGUCAACUAUUGACCAAAGUUAAAAACUGGUCAAUAUGUCCAAUUUUUGUAAUUUUUGAUGUAAUGAAUAUUCCUAUGCAAUACAGAUGAUUAUUUGAAUGA